rnacentral:lncRNA from 1 species
GCCGCUAAGUAAAAUCUUGUUUUAUUUCGCAAUCAUCCUGAUAUAUUAACUUUUACACGCAUGAUGUUAGUAAACAAGUGACUAGGCAAACUAUUUACAAGUAUUUCACCUCCUUUCUCGCUAGCUAUAAAUUAAUCCAUCUCAAGUACUAACGUCAACACUCUACUCCAAUGCAACUUUUGCACAAGGAUCCCACCUUCGUAACAUUGCACUUGCUAGCAAACUAUCUCCUCUUCCCAGGAGCAACACACGCCUUGACACAGUGAUUCCAGAAGAUAAGCUAGCUAUCUGUUCCUUGCCUCGGAAGCCUCUCGAGCAAGCCGUACCUCAAUAACUCACAGUCAACUGGUAGUAGCACCUACUCACCAUUACUGACACCCCGACGAUAAGGACACACAUCCAUGGCAAGAAGCUUCCGUGUGGGAACUGUAAGGUUGUCUCCGGCCCACUCGACGUUCAUGUGAACCAGUAGGCUGCACCAACCUCCAUCGCCAUAACUCGACCUUGUUCUAGAAGUCAGUUGCCGAGGCAAGCAGCCUCACUGCUAAUCUUGAGAUGAUUCUUCGUGCAGUCCGGCUAGCCCACAUGCUUCCUUGCUCAAGUAAAACAAGUUGUCUUCUACCUCCCCCGACCAGAACCAAUACACGCACACGCCAUGAUGCUGGUCUGGGAGUUGAGACCAUGUUGUCGAGCUGAGAAGACCUGAAACGACGCAACAAGCAGUGAAAGCAGUAGCCCGGCAAGCCCCUGCGCGCUCAGCCGAAUCGAAGACCAGCCACUCACCUCAAUCACCACCGAAGUCGUGCCCAGCUCCGUGCAAGUUGCCGACCAGCCUCGGGAAGACACCGCCACACUGUGUCGGGUCGUCGCGCACAGUCGUCUGCUGAGAUUUUUCUCAGGCGAACCGCCUUUCCCCGUCUAUAAAGCGAGCCCGACGCCGCACCGUGAUGCCUGGCACCUCCUCAACUCGCUGUCGUGCACCACAACCCGAGCUGAGCCCGUCUUCUUCUCCCUAGCCGAAGAACCAGCUACCUUCGAUCUCCCCAACGAAGACCGUGACCGUCGAUUCGAGUGGCAGGUGAGCACCUCCUCAACGCAAAUCGCCUCCCUUCAGACUCGAUUGAGCCCUUCUUCUACCUUUCAAGAGCCAUCCACGAGCUCCAGUCAACCAUGGCCAUGGCGCCGAGCAGCAGCCUCCCUACCAUGGCCAUGGCGCCGAGCAGCAGCCUCCCUGUGCUUCUCCCGAAAUCUUCCACUCCAGAGAGAUGCGCUAUGGUCUGAGGGUCAUUU